rnacentral:rRNA from 1 species
CGGGACACGUGGUAUCCUGUCUGAAUAUGGGGGGACCAUCCUCCAAGGCUAAAUACUCCUGACUGACCGAUAGUGAACCAGUACCGUGAGGGAAAGGCGAAAAGAACCCCGGCGAGGGGAGUGAAAAAGAACCUGAAACCGUGUACGUACAAGCAGUGGGAGCACGCUUAGGCGUGUGACUGCGUACCUUUUGUAUAAUGGGUCAGCGACUUAUAUUCUGUAGCAAGGUUAACCGAAUAGGGGAGCCGAAGGGAAACCGAGUCUUAACUGGGCGUUAAGUUGCAGGGUAUAGACCCGAAACCCGGUGAUCUAGCCAUGGGCAGGUUGAAGGUUGGGUAACACUAACUGGAGGACCGAACCGACUAAUGUUGAAAAAUUAGCGGAUGACUUGUGGCUGGGGGUGAAAGGCCAAUCAAACCGGGAGAUAGCUGGUUCUCCCCGAAAGCUAUUUAGGUAGCGCCUCGUGAAUUCAUCUCCGGGGGUAGAGCACUGUUUCGGCAAGGGGGUCAUCCCGACUUACCAACCCGAUGCAAACUGCGAAUACCGGAGAAUGUUAUCACGGGAGACACACGGCGGGUGCUAACGUCCGUCGUGAAGAGGGAAACAACCCAGACCGCCAGCUAAGGUCCCAAAGUCAUGGUUAAGUGGGAAACGAUGUGGGAAGGCCCAGACAGCCAGGAUGUUGGCUUAGAAGCAGCCAUCAUUUAAAGAAAGCGUAAUAGCUCACUGGUCGAGUC